GGGUGACGGAGCGACGCCGCGUGGGUGAAGAAGGCCUUCGGGUUGUAAAACCCUGUCAGGAGUCAUGAAAUGUAAGUGCGCUAAUAUCGUGCUUAUUUGACAAAGGCUCCAAAGGAAGCCACGGCUAACUCUGUGCCAGCAGCCGCGGUAAUACAGAGGUGGCGAGCGUUGUUCGGAAUUAUUGGGCGUAAAGAGCACGUAGGUGGGUUUGCAAGUCAGAUGUGAAAGCCUUCUGUUCAACGGAAGAAUUGCAUCUGAAACUGCUGAUCUUGAGUAUAGGAGGGGAGAAUGGAACUUCUGGUGGAGCGGUGAAAUGCGUAGAUAUCAGAAGGAACGCCGGCGGCGAAAGCGAUUCUCUGGCCUAUUACUGACACUCAGUGUGCGAAAGCUAGGGGAGCAAACGGGAUUAGAUACCCCGGUAGUCCUAGCCGUAAACGAUGGGCACUAAGUAGAGG
rnacentral:rRNA from 1 species